rnacentral:tRNA from 1 species
GGGGAUUUAGCUCAGUGGUAGAGCACUUGCCUAGCAAAUGCAAGACCCUGGGUUCAGUCCCCA